UCCGUAGGUGAACCUGCGGAAGGAUCAUUAACAAAUUCCAAACACUCGUCUUUGCCAGGAGGGAACUGAGGCUCCGGCCGCACGAACCUUCUGGUCAUAUGACAAACACUUACAUUCACAAUUGACAACAACAGGAUUUCCACAAUUUAAAUUGUUUAAACAACUUUUAACAAUGGAUCUCUUGGCUCUUGCAACGAUGAAGAACGCAGCGAACUGCGAAACGUAAUGUGACCUGCACUCUUCGUGAAUCAUCGAAUCUUUGAACGCACCUUGCACUCCUUGGUAUUCCGAGGAGUAUGCCUGUUCGAGUGUCAUGAAACUCUCAAACCACAUCUUCAUUGAUGUUGGGUUUGGAUUUGGACGUUGCUGGACUUUUCGGCUCGUCUUGAAUGCAUUAGCUGGCGAUUUCGACUACAGUUAAACCGUGUGAUAAUACAUCUACGCGGGCAGCCGUCAAGGCGCUGGGUCGUCAUUCAAAGGCUUCUAAUUGUCCUUUGAGGACCGCCUUUAUUGGCGUAUUCAUUUCACAUCUGGCCUCGAAUCAGGGUAGGGGACUACCCGGCUGGAACUUAAGGCAUAUCAAUAAGGCGGGAGGGAAGGUCGGACUGGCC
rnacentral:rRNA from 1 species